rnacentral:rRNA from 1 species
UACGAAGGGGGCUAGCGUUGCUCGGAAUUACUGGGCGUAAAGCGCACGUAGGCGGUCUUUUAAGUCGGGGGUGAAAUCCUGGAGCUCAACUCCAGAACUGCCUUCGAUACUGGAAGACUUGAGUCCGGGAGAGGUGAGUGGAACUGCGAGUGUAGAGGUGAAAUGCGUAGAUAUCCGAAGGAACACCGGUGGCGAAAGCGGCGCGCUGGAUCUCUUCUGACGCUGAGGCGCGAAAGCCAGGGGAGCAAACGGG